rnacentral:lncRNA from 10 species
GCAGGUAGAGGAAAUUGAUUAUCAGAAAGGAGAAUGGGGCAGACGUUCAGGUUGAAGUGGACAUGGGAGGUUGUGUGGUGCUAGUUCUUGGCCUUACUACCUGAAAUUGGUUUCCUUACUAUUCCCUUCAAUACUAACAGUAAACUUACUUUUUACUUGAGCUUCUUAGAGCUGGUGUCUGCUUCUCAUAGACAAACAAUCCCUGAUCAGAGUGUUCCCAAAUAUUAACACAAUGUGUUUCGUUCCUGUGCACGCAUUUCUCCUGCCUUCAGUAACUCUGCACAUUCUGUUCUCCAGCUCACUCUGUUCGUUUCUGAAAACCCAGCUCAGCAGUCAGUCCCCUUCUGUGGAAGGUUUUAAGUUAUUUAUUGAAGAAUAGAUAGCUCAUAGUUGGCAGGUGGUGGAGAGAAUACCAAGACCUAGGCUCUCCUGAUCUCCCUGCAUCCCUGUCAUUUUUGGCAAUGUCGCUAAUCGGCCCAGCAGCCCGAAUCCACACGCCCCGGCGUCCGGGCUCUGCAAGGUGCAGCUGGUCUCAGGCCCUGUCUCAGAAUACAGAAGUAAUCAGAAUUUAUUCACGUGGGCCGACUGAGAGUUUUGACGUCAAAGGGCAAUCCUGUCUGAUUGAUACCACUCAAAUGGCAAUAUUGUUUGAAGAAAUGUAGUUAGAGAGAUGGCAAUUUAAAGGCUAUAAGAAGUUACAGGAAAAGAUUUUGUGAAUAGAGACUAUAAAGCACUCCUGUAACCUUGGCCCCAAAGAGGGCUCUCCAGACAGAAAGUUGCCUGCAUGUCCCGGUGCGUGUUUUUGAGUGUGAUACUGUUCUUCACUGCUCUGUCCCAAGAAAUCCAGCAUUGCCUAUGGCAUACCUUCUGAGGAAAGCCUUUGGGGCAAAGAAAUUACAAAAAUGAAGGUGGGGGAGUAUUACAAUUUGUAACAGUCACUUAAGAAUUCUCAACAUGUUUUUUUCAUUGGCUAUAAACAAAACAAGGUAAUACAAGACACCUGUGACCAUGCAAAAAAUAAGAGGCACAGAUGCCCCACCGUUAAAGCAAGCAGGUCACGCAGCAGGGGCAUUCCUGUGGGUGAGCGGCCUGGGAGACCAACAGAGAAGAAUCACCCAGGAGGUAAAACAGCAUUCAGUGAGCAAGAGGCACAGAAGUCUAGGGUGAAAUUGCCAGUGAAACAGCCUUCUCAGAAUGCUGGGAUUUUAGAAAGCACAGCUGGGAAGUUGUGGGCUGGAGAAUCCAUCAGCCUCCCUCGUUGUCUAUCUCUUUCCUUCCUAACUUUCUUGUAUCAGCCAUCAGUGCCACACUGGGUGCUGGGCUUGAGGGGAUAAAAUGGGGAACAUACGCACCCGGUUUCUGUCCUUAGGGGGCUUAGAGUAGAAUGGGGAAGAGAUAAACCCAAGUAAAUAGCAUACAAAUAAAAUAAUUGCCAACUGUGAUAAAGGACUUUGAAGAAAGCAAUUAAAGUUCUGAGUUAGAAGGUAACAUGAGAGUAAAUUGCGUUUCCUAGGGUGGUCAGGAAAUGUUUUUUUGGACAGACUUAACAUAUAAACAGAUCUGUAAGGAGCAGGGAGGAUUUUAAAGUUUGCAGUGGGUAGAGAGGUUGGGAAAGUACUGAAAGAAAGUGGUGUGGUUGGAGAACAAUAUACAAAUGUGACAAUGAAACAAAAUGGAACAAAAGAAAAGGGAAGGCUUGUCAUCAGACGUGGUGACAAGUUCAUUUUGAUCUCUCACCCUCUAUCUUCACGGUCUCUUCAGGCCUCCUAGACUUCCAUUGGAAAGCCCUGGCCUCUUGGAAUUACAGGUGUUGGAAAUCCACACCAAACUAACUUGAGCAGGGAAGGGGAAUUACCAUACUGUGAGCUGUCAGGGUGCAGCUGACCAAUAGAUGGCUGGGGCCCGGGGAUAUGGGCAUCGAGAUUCACUUUUUUUUCUCCUGUGGUUCUCCUUCAUUGUCCAGCAGACAGGCCUUGGCCUGUACUACAGUGGGACAGUGUUUCCAGUAGCAACUGUUUAUCUUCCCAAAUUUGCCACCAGGCAGUGGGGGGCUGUCUUCCCUUACUUCCAGUUUGGCUCAUGCUUGGUGAGAGACUCUGUUUUCCUUGGCUUGGGUCACAUUCCCACCCAAGGAGACAGGGUGCUGCCGGUGGCAGCGUGGGGGAAAGGAGCAACUCCCCUGCAGAUGCCUGCCUGCCUGUGAGGGCGUCGAUAUGAGUGAGAAAGGGUAAAGAGCUGUGAGUAUGUGUAUUGUGAGAUUGUGUGUGUGUGUUUAUGUAGAUGUGUGCAUGUGUAUGUGAGUGUGUAUGAAUGUAUGUGUGUAUGUGUGACUGGGAGAACAUGUAUGUGUGUACAUUUGUGAGUAUGUAUAUAUGUUGAGUGUUAUGUGUAAAAUUGUGUCUCCCUAAAAUUCUUAUGUUGAAAUCCUAGCCCCUAAUACCUUAGAAUUCAACGUUAUUUGGAGAGAGGUCUUCGUAUAGAUAAUCAAGUUCAAAGGAGACAUUAGGGUGGGCUGUAAUCCCAUUAGCUGUUGUCUUUGUAAAAGGGGAAAUUUGGACACAGAGCCACUCAGAGAGGGAAGAGGUCGUGAAGAGACACUGGCAGAAGAUAGCCAUGUACAAGCCAAGUAGAGAGGACUGGAACAGAUCCUUCCCUCACAGCCUCCGAGGAACCAACCUGGCCGACACCUUGAUUUCAGACUUCUGGCCUCCAGAACUGUGUGAGACAGCACAUUUCUGUUGUGGAAGCCACCCAGUCUGUGGUACUUUGUUACAGCAGCUCCAGCAAAUGCACACCAUGAGCGUGUGUGUGACUGUGGGCAUCUGAGUGUCAAUGUCAAUGUAUGUGUAGACUGGGAGUUGCUCUGGUCAUAAAUCUAAAGAUGGCUAUCAUGCUGCUCCUUUUCUUUGCUUAUCCAAUACCACUCACAUUUCGAGGCCUGCCACAAAUCCCCCUCCUUCUUGACAUCUUUCAUGGGUUCUCAGUGCUCCAGGUGCAAUUCUGGCUGCCACCAAUUAAUCGCGUGAUUCAUGGUGACCUUGAGGGAAACAACCUUUCUCAUUAAUCUUUGGGUCCCUGUAUUUGUCUUAUGGCCCAGCAUGUAGUAAGUACUCAAAUAAUAUUUGUUUGCUUCACUUAACCUUCUAUUUAAUUUUUUUUACUGUGAAAUAAAACAAAUGUAGAAAAUUGUACAAAACAAGAGUUUACAGCCCAGUGUUUUAUCACAAAGUGAACAUCUGUGUAACUACUACACAGAGCAAAAAAU